rnacentral:lncRNA from 1 species
ACUCAAGAGAUCAAUAAGACUUUUUCGGGUUAAAAAAAUGGAAAGCAAGCAACAAGAAUGAUGGUUAUGGUCACAUAAGUGAAAAUAAAUCAACCACAAUAAAUCAGAGCAUACUCAAUUACUUAUACUUUACAUCCUUUCCUUUAUUUGUUUUAUUUUAUAUUUUUAGAAUAGCCUAUACACUUUGGCACUCUUCCUUAAGUCAUCAUUUGCCUUUUUACGCGAAUACCGACAUUGGCGAUGAAGGCACCCGGUUAGUCAGCAAGUCAUAUACUCAAAGUGCUUUGCAUACUCAUAAUUCAAGUCACUGUUUGACGUAAAAGCAAACGUGGGGCUCAUGAAUGCUCCUAGUUACUAGGCAACUUGAAACAGCAGAGUAGAUUGUGCUUCUUCUUUUUUUUUUUU